AAAGUGAUUUUCCUAAGGAGGAUCCAUUGAUGUUGACCAAUUUAUUAAGUAGAAUAUCCGUUUGUCAGUCCGUAGCUAAAACAUAGCUCCUUAGUGUACAGGUAUUGAUCAGCCUCUCUUUCCAACAAGAAUAUCUACACACUUGGAAUCUGCCAUCUAUUUGCUGCAUGGACUCUUACUGAUACCUCGGAUUACAAGUUCAGAAGAAGCACGUAUCUGAGUCAGGGUAUAUAGAAAUCUGAAGUGCAGGACCUUAUUCCUGAAGUCAUCACUGUUGUUAGCUUGAAACAGUCUGGAGUUAGCUGUGAAGACGCACUAAAAAGUGUAAACGACCGCCCACAGUAGUCAUGGAUCUGGAGGUGAGUGUACACUGAAAUGUGGAGGAGGACGGGAGGGUUGGUAGGAAGUAGGAAGGGUUUACAGAGGAGGUAGAGAUGAAGAUUGUCCUUGAAGAAGGGUGUCUCUCACACAGCCAGAAUGGAAGAGGAAAAAAAAAAAAA
rnacentral:lncRNA from 1 species